GGAGUCUGGACCGUGUCUCAGUUCCAAUGUGGGGGACCUUCCUCUCAGAACCCCUACCCAUCGUCGGUUUGGUGGGCCGUUACCCCGCCAACUGCCUAAUGGGACGCGAGCCAAUCCGAUAGCGAUAAAUCUAUUAAACAAAGGUCAUGCGGCCUCUGUUGUUACGGAGUAUUACACGACGUUUCCAUCGACUAUCCUCCGCUAUCGGGCAUGUUGCUCACGCGUUACUCACCCUUUCGCCGGUCGCCGCCAAAGUAUUGCUACCUCGCGCUGCCCCUCGACUUGCAUGUGUUAAGCCUGCCGCUAGCGUUCAUC
rnacentral:rRNA from 1 species